GCCUGAGUGGCUCAGUUGGUUGAGCAUCUGACUUCAGCUCAGGUCAUGAUCUCAUGGUUUGUGGGUUCAAGCCCCACGUCGGGCU
rnacentral:tRNA from 2 species